AUGAACGCUGGCGGCGUGCCUAAUACAUGCAAGUCGAGCGAACGGACGAGAAGCUUGCUUUUCUGAUGUUAGCGGCGGACGGGUGAGUAACACGUGGAUAACCUACCUAUAAGACUGGGAUAACUUCGGGAAACCGGAGCUAAUAUCGGAUAAUAUUUUGAACCGCAUGGUUCAAAAGUGAAAGACGGUCUUGCUGUCACUUAUAGAUGGAUCCGCGCUGCAUUAGCUAGUUGGUAAGGUAACGGCUUACCAAGGCAACGAUGCAUAGCCGACCUGAGAGGGUGAUCGGCCACACUGGAACUGAGACACGGUCCAGACUCCUACGGGAGGCAGCAGUAGGGAAUCUUCCGCAAAGGGCGAAAGCCUGACGGAGCAACGCCGCGUGAGUGAUGAAGGUCUUCGGAUCGUAAAACUCUGUUAUUAGGGAAGAACAUAUGUGUAAGUAACUGUGCACAUCUUGACGGUACCUAAUCAGAAAGCCACGGCUAACUACGUG
rnacentral:rRNA from 1 species